rnacentral:rRNA from 1 species
AGAGGAGCCAAGCGUUGUCCGGAUUGACUGGGCGUAAAGCGCACGCAGGCGGACGCGCGCGUGGGGUGUGAAAUCUGGCCGCUUAACGGCCAGGCGCCAUCCCAUACGGCGCGUCUGGAGUGAUGCAGAGGUCGGUGGAAUUGCCGGUGUAGUGGUGAAAUGCGUAGAGAUCGGCAGGAACACCCAGGGGGAAACCAGCCGACUGGGCAUCUACUGACGCUGAGGUGCGAGAGCGUGGGGAGCGAACCGGAUUAGAUACCCGGGUAGUCCACGCCGUAAACGAUGGCCACUCGGCCUUUGGAGGCGGAAUCUCCGUCUUUGGGGGCCUUAGCUAACGCGGGAAGUGGCCCGCCUGGGAACUACGAGCGCAAGCUUA